CGUAGCUAGCUAACAAGGAGACUAAUGAUUGUUGAUGAUGCUGUAAAACAUAUGUAUUUCAGGAAACCGAGGAAAUGGCAGGGCAAACGUCGCAUGACAGUGGUUUGUGGGAUUUUCUUCGAAAGCGAGGUGUUGCAGAAGAAAAUAUUGACCGAAUGCAACAAGACAAGAUUGACUCAUCGCUUGUCAGAGAAAUAGAAGAUGCCUACCUUGCACGCUAUAUACCAGUUUAUGGGGACAGGAUUGCUCUGAGGCGAUACUGUCUGGACAAAGAAAAACAAAAAGACAAUAGUUCAAGGAUGUCCCUUCUUGAAAAACUUCGAAAGAAACUAAAGACAGCAACAGCAGGUCAAGAUGAGGAGUCUGAACAGGAACCCUGGCCUGCAAAGAGUGCAAAAAAACCAAGCCGUGAUUGUUCUAAAAAUGCUGUGAAGAGUUCAAGAAAAAUUGAGUUAGGGUGGAUCCAUGAGGGAAAACAAAUGAGAAAGCGUUCUGGUGGUGGCACCAGGGUACUUGAGGUAUCCAAGAAUUCAACCAAAACUGACAUUUUGUCACAUGCCAAAGAACUGUUUUUUCCAGGUGGUGAAUCAACAAAAGGAAAAUGGGAAGACUUCCUACACGAUAUUUAUGACUUUAAGGAGUCACGCCUUGAUGAGAGCAGUACUGUUGGUGCGUUGUACACAGUGUCAAAAUUGGGGAUUUUACGAUUCUACCUAAACACAACAUGCCUCGUUGACUCAUCCGACGCAGAAGUGGACAGGAAAGGGGACAAGUAUGGUGUCACUAUUGUAGAGCAGCAGAGACAGACCAAUUCUGAUGAGCACCAAGAAAAGCCAGCCAGACUGAAUGAAUCACAAAGAAAACAAUCUGGUACAGCUGAAGACUCAAAUGUUGUUGAUCUCACCUCUGAGUUUGAUAAUUCAGAGGUGAUCAUUGGUGGUCUUGUAGGUGCAUCCUCUGCAAGCCAGUUGGAUGACACUGUUCCAUUUUUCUUUUCCACUGAGGAUGUUAUCAGUGUUGCCUUUACUACAGUCUCUUCUGUCUCAGAAGAUGAUAUUGACUAUGUUGUCCAUUCAGGUGGUAAUCCACAUAAUGACCCUCCCUCAGAGAUUCAGCUGGAUGAUGCUGUCCCAGUUUUCACUGCAGUCGAGGAAGUCAUCAAUGAUGCCCCCUCCACAUCCACCCCUGUGUCAGGGGACCAUGAUCAAAAUACUGAUGACUACUCAAGUUUUGAUGCAGGCUUUGACCAACAUCAUGUGAAUCUUAAACUACAUAGAGUAAAUCUCUUAGAGGAAAUGAUUUGUCAAUUCAAAGAUGAGUCAAUUUUGAAGUACCCUUUAAAGUUUGCUUUUGUUAAUGAAUGGGGUGCAGAUGCAGAUGGUGUGUCCAGAGAUGCCUAUGCUGCUUUUUGGACAGAGUUCUUGGAUUCUGCAGCAGAGGGGGCGGAAAUGAGGGUGCCAUCCCUGUCACCAAAAUGGCAGGAGGAAGAGUGGAAAGCUGUGGGAAGAAUAUUGGCCAAAGGAUUUGUGGAUCAGGGAUACUUUCCGCUGCGCCUUGCCCCAGCAUUUACCACAGCACUAAUAUUUGGAGAGCAUGCUGUAUCUACUGAUUCACUGUUUGAAUCUUUGAUGCUGUACCUGAGUCAGUGUGAGAGAGAGCUCAUAACCGCUGCCUUAGAGGGAGACCUUGAUAGUGAUGGCCAGGAUGAGUUAUUAGAUCUGCUGGAUCGCCUGGGAGUGAAAGCUGUUCCAUCACAAGCCAACCUAAAAGCCGUCCUCCUUCAAGUGGCACACAAACAAAUAAUACAGCAGCCAAAGUAUGCUCUUGAUAACAUGUCAGCAGUUGCAGCACAACUCCUGAAGACCACCAUCACCACAACAGCAAAAAUACAGAUCAUGUAUACAGACAAAAAAACAACUUGCAGGAAAGUCCUGAAGCUAAUUGAAGCAAGUCCAGAGACUCCAGCUGAGAGACAAGCCCUUGGAUUUUUACAACAGUACAUACGAGGACUG
ensembl:lncRNA